rnacentral:rRNA from 1 species
CCUACGGGAGGCAGCAGUGAGGAAUAUUGGUCAAUGGACGAGAGUCUGAACCAGCCAAGUAGCGUGAAGGAUGACUGCCCUAUGGGUUGUAAACUUCUUUUAUAUGGGAAUAAAACGUUCCACGUGUGGGAUUUUGUAUGUACCAUAUGAAUAAGGAUCGGCUAACUCCGUGCCAGCAGCCGCGGUAAUACGGAGGAUCCGAGCGUUAUCCGGAUUUAUUGGGGUUAAAGGGAGCGUAGGUGGAUUGUUAAGUCAGUUGUGAAAGUUUGCGGCUCAACCGUAGAAUUGCAGUUGAAACUGGCAGUCUUGAGUACAGUAGAGGUGGGCGGAAUUCGUGGUGUAGCGGUGAAAUGCUUAGAUAUCACGAAGAACUCCGAUUGCGAAGGCAGUUCACUGGACUGCAACUGACACUGAGGCUCGAAAGUGUGGGUAUCAAACAGGAUUAGAUACCCGAGUAGUC